rnacentral:rRNA from 1 species
ACGUAGGGGGCAAGCGUUGUCCGGAUUUAUUGGGCGUAAAGAGUGCGUAGGUGGUUUUGUAAGCGUGAGGUGAAAGGCAAUGGCUUAACUAUUGUAAGCCUUGCGAACUGGAAGACUUGAGUGUAGGAGAGGAAAGUGGAAUUUCUAGUGUAGCAGUGAAAUGCGUAGAUAUUAGGAGGAACACCAGUGGCGAAGGCGACUUUCUGGACUGUUACUGACACUGAGGCACGAAAGCGUGGGGAGCAAACAG